CCUACGGGUGGCAGCAGUGGGGAAUACUGCACAAUGGGCGCAAGCCUGAUGCAGCCAUGCCGCGUGUGUGAAGAAGGCCUUCGGGUUGUAAAGCACUUUCAGCGGGGAGGAAGGCGUUAAGGUUAAUAACCUUGGCGAUUGACGUUACCCGCAGAAGAAGCACCGGCUAACUCCGUGCCAGCAACCGCGGUAAUACGGAGGGUGCAAGCGUUAAUCGGAAUUACUGGGCGUAAAGCGCACGCAGGCGGUCUGUCAAGUCGGAUGUGAAAUCCCCGGGCUCAACCUGGGAACUGCAUUCGAAACUGGCAGGCUAGAGUCUUGUAGAGGGGGGUAGAAUUCCAGGUGUAGCGGUGAAAUGCGUAGAGAUCUGGAGGAAUACCGGGGGCGAAGGCGGCCCCCUGGACAAAGACUGACGCUCAGGUGCGAAAGCGGGGGGAGCAAACAGGAUUAGAUACCCGUGUAGUC
rnacentral:rRNA from 1 species